rnacentral:lncRNA from 15 species
GUCUUCUAGAGGGGUAAUAGGGUACUAUGAGCUCUUUAAGAUAUGAAAGGGCCUGAACAUGAAGAGCUUUGUAGGUGAGGAGGAGGAUUUUAAAUUCUAUUCUAAAUUACUACUGAUGUGAGUAUUGAAUUUUCCUGUGUUCUGAGCAGUCCUUGAACACCUCCUGCUGUAUGUUUUGUUGUUUAUUUGAGUAUUCAGGUGUCAACCUGUCAUUGUCCAAUCAGGGUCUAUUAGAGAUGAGUAUGAGGAAACCUACCGGAUUCUGAGAGGAUUAAAAAGAGAAACGGAGACGCAAGAGAGAGAGAGAGAGACGCUCAUCCGCUACGCCUGGUUCUGCUCCAUCAUACAUUUUAUCCCGCUCCACUCACCACUCCGCUCAAAAAAAAAAAACGACUUCAACAAUGUCGCCUUUUUCUUGUUCCACAUUAUCCCCAUCUGUUACUUUUACAGGAAUAGCACACUUGUACGACUUCUCAGUUUCUUUUCUGAAGUACACAUUAAACUCCAUAGUUUUGAAAGAAAAAAUUGCCGCUCAACACAAAAUCCUUUUGCUCCCCGCUCCGCUCAUAUGCUCUGACAGGGACUAACGUUAGUUUCACAACUUUGAUCAUCCGCCACUGGACAGAGGUUGUGAACUAAACAAACACGUUGCUAUCCAGUGUGCGUGUAAUCAAAAGGAUGGAGAUGGAGAGUGUAUUUUGAUCGAGGGUUCUUUGCGUAAUGGAUGUGGAGAACUGUUCAAUAACGUUUAAAUAGUCAGAGAUUAUUUCCUUGUGGUUUGCGUAAAAGGAUUUUGGAGCUAAUAGAGUCGCGUGUGACAUAAACGUAGAUGGUGCAGUGACUCAGGUUCAUGCCAGCUGAACAAAUCUAUUGCAUUGUUAUAGCGUUUAAUUAAUAGCGCAUAUAUUCAUCUGAGAACUGAUGAUGUCUGUGUGUUACAGACCCUGGCUGUGUGCACUGAAGUGUAUAUGACAAUAAAGUAGUGAAUCUCAAUCUAUUUAUUUAUUUUUAAAAUGUAUUUUAAAUAGGCCUAUAGGCUCAUAGGUUUUUUGUCCAAAAAUACCAAACAAUUUUUUCACAGCACCCCCUGUUCAAAAUGACUUCCAGCAAAAGCUUAGUGUGUAUCCAUGUCCGUCCAAGUGUAUUCAAUGUGUAUGUGCUACCCGGGUAGAAUGUGUGUGUUUGUUUGUACGCUUGCUCAGAUCUUAUCUUCAGGAAGAUGAUGAAGAUCGAGAAUUCCAGAUACUCUCUAACCCUGCCUCGCAUCCCACAGGAAACCCAGAAUGUAGAUCCAGCAACUCAAAAAACCAAUUAUCUCUCAUCAAUUACUGUACAGUAUCAUAUCUCUCUUUAACUCAAGUGUAACUUAUAACAAAAGCAAUGAUGAACUAUAUCCUGAGACCUUAAAAGCUUAGACAUCAUUGUGUUUUGUUUCCUUUUUUACCAGUAUUAAUAAAUCAUGUUACACAACUUAUCUCUUAUCUCUAAUCAAUCAUGUCUCUCAUUCAUAUUCACCCUUAUGUAUUUUUAAUCAUCUCAACAUGAACGCUAACUAGCAUUAGCUUCUAGUGAAGUAAUGCAGAGAAAUAUUAUAUUUAGUCGGCUCUUACCAAUUCACCUCCCAUGUUAAACUGUUUAAAGGUAAUCAAUGUAAACAUUCUGUUACAAAUAUAAUACUGAUAAUAAUAAUAGAUCAUCAAUAAGUGAAAAUAAUGAGCUGUAGCCAUCGGCCAAUAAGAAGAAGCUCCACUGAACUGAAAGACUAUCAG